rnacentral:rRNA from 1 species
GAUGAACGCUGGCGGUAUGCCUAACACAUGCAAGUCGUACGAGGGUUUUUAACUCUAGUGGCGGACGGGUGAGUAACACGUGAGAAUUUGCCUUUAGGAGGGGGAUAACAAUCGGAAACGGUUGCUAAUACCCCAUAUGCUUUCGAGUGAAAUGGAUUUUUCCGCCUAAAGAGAAGCUUGCGUCUGAUUAGCUAGUUGGCGGUGUAACGGACCACCAAGGCGACGAUCAGUAGGGGUUCUGAGAGGAAGGUCCCCCACACUGGCACUGAGAUACGGGCCAGACUCCUACGGGAGGCAGCAGUAGGGAAUAUUGGGCAAUGGUCGGAAGACUGACCCAGCCAUGCCGCGUGCAGGAAGACGGCCCUCUGGGUCGUAAACUGCUUUUAUCUGGGAAGAAAAAGGCCAUGCGUGGCAAAUUGCCGGUACCAGAUGAAUAAGCACCGGCUAACUCCGUG